rnacentral:rRNA from 1 species
GCCCUAGUAUAUAUCUAAGGUGUAACCUGCCCAAUGAUUUUUAAUAAAAAUAAAUGAAAUUUAUAAAAUAAAAUUUAAAGGACGCGGUAACCUUGACCGUGAUAAUGUAGCAUAAUCACUCGCCAUUUAAUUGAUGGAUAGUAUGAAUGGUUAAACGAAUAUUCCACUGUCUUAAAAAGAAACAAACAAAAAUUAGAACAAUAGUAAAGAUACUAUUUAAAAUUGUAAGACGAAAAGACCCUAUAGAGCUUAACUAUAGCUUCUCUAUAUGAGAGGUUGGUAGUUUAGUUGGGGCGACUAUCUUUUAAAAUUAACGAAGAGAAUUAAAUAAAAAAUAAAUAAAAUUACUGUAUAAUACAUAAAUUUAACAGUUAUAAAAAUAGAAUAUAAUGACCCGUUAAAAUUAAAUAAAAAAGCUAACGAUUAAUAAAUAAAAGCUACCUUAGGGAUAACAGGAUAAUUUCAUUCAAGAGAUCUCAUCAAAAAUGAAGUUUGUCACCUCUAUGUUGAAUUAAGAUACCCCGACAAUGCAGAAGUUGUCAAAGGUAGGUCUGUUCGACCUUUAAAAUCUU